rnacentral:rRNA from 1 species
UUAGUUGCCAUCAUUCAGUUGGGUACUCUAGCGAGACUGCCGGUAAUAAACCGGAGGAAGGUGGGGAUGACGUCAAAUCAUCAUGCCCCUUAUGACCUGGGCUACACACGUGCUACAAUGGUUGGUACAACGAGUUGCGAGUCGGUGACGGCGAGCUAAUCUCUUAAAGCCAAUCUCAGUUCGGAUUGUAGGCUGCAACUCGCCUACAUGAAGUCGGAAUCGCUAGUAAUCGCGGAUCAGCACGCCGCGGUGAAUACGUUCCCGGGCCUU